CAGCUAUGAAGCAAGAUUCACUUAGACAACAUCGUGUUUUACUGCUUCCUGUUACGGACUUCAUCUCAUGAUGACCUACAUCCUGUUUCUUACCACUUGACUAUUGAUGCACAGGAGUGAAAGACGUACUGGUGUGAGCGUUAUUACAUUGAAACACAUUAACUAUUCCUCCGUGUGGUUAGAACAGAUGUCUGAGAUGAAGCUGUGGCUUGUUCACUUUCUCCUCCUCGGCUGUGUCUGAUUAAUGCUCAGGCUGCAGAAUCUGAACAGAGAAUACUAGAAGGCACUAUUGUCACUAUUCCAUGUGAAAACGAAGGAGGAGUAACGUGGAGUAAACGAGCUGACAGAAAGAGAGAGAUCAUAUUCAAGGCUUCACCCGGAGAACCCCCUGUCCAGCCCAAACCCGAUCCCAGAUACAGCGUAUUAAGCAAUUUAACACUCAUAAUAAAGGACGUGUCGGUGUCAGACUCGGGGGUUUACUACUGUAACAGCACCGCUGUGGUCAAGCUGAACGUCGUUCCAUUACCAGCUUUAUCAGAGACCUUGAGUGAUGAUAUGAGAGGAUCUGCCACCAGACUCAGCGGAGGAUUGUUUGAUGUGGAACGAGUUCUUUUCAUCAGUCUGGCUGCUCUGUUUCUUUCCUCACUACAGUAAAUGCACAGCCUCAGCCUGGGGGAUUUGACUACGUCUGACUUCUAUAAUGCAAUUAAUAUAUAAUUAAAGGAUCUGUUCUGUUGUGCAUGAUUGUGUUGUAAUAUAAUGUUGAUAAAUGAUUUUAUUCUGGA